rnacentral:rRNA from 1 species
CCUACGGGAGGCAGCAGUGAGGAAUAUUGGUCAAUGGGCGUAAGCCUGAACCAGCCAAGUCGCGUGAGGGAUGAAGGUUCUAUGGAUCGUAAACCUCUUUUAUAAGGGAAUAAAGUGUGGGACGUGUCCUGUUUUGUAUGUACCUUAUGAAUAAGGAUCGGCUAACUCCGUGCCAGCAGCCGCGGUAAUACGGAGGAUCCGAGCGUUAUCCGGAUUUAUUGGGUUUAAAGGGUGCGUAGGCGGCCUUUUAAGUCAGCGGUGAAAGUCUGUGGCUCAACCAUAGAAUUGCCGUUGAAACUGGGAGGCUUGAGUAUGGUUGAGGCAGGCGGAAUGCGUGGUGUAGCGGUGAAAUGCGUAGAUAUCACGCAGAACCCCGAUUGCGAAGGCAGCCUGCCAAGCCGUGACUGACGCUGAUGCACGAAAGCGUGGGGAUCAAACAGGAUUAGAUACCCGAGUAGUC